rnacentral:rRNA from 1 species
CCCUGUAACUAAGCAUAUCAAUAAGCGGAGGAAAAGAAACCAACAGGGAUUGCCCUAGUAACGGCGAGUGAAGCGGCAACAGCUCAAAUUUGAAAUCUGGCUCUCGGGCCCGAGUUGUAAUUUGUAGAGGAUGCUUUUGAUGCGGUGCCUUCCGAGUUCCCUGGAACGGGACGCCAUAGAGGGUGAGAGCCCCGUCUGGUUGGAUGCCAAAUCUCUGUAAAGCUCCUUCGACGAGUCGAGUAGUUUGGGAAUGCUGCUCUAAAUGGGAGGUAUAUGUCUUCUAAAGCUAAAUACCGGCCAGAGACCGAUAGCGCACAAGUAGAGUGAUCGAAAGAUGAAAAGCACUUUGAAAAGAGAGUUAAAAAGUACGUGAAAUUGUUGAAAGGGAAGCGUUUAUGACCAGACUUGGGCUUGGUUAAUCAUCUGGGGUUCUCCCCAGUGCACUUUUCCAGUCCAGGCCAGCAUCAGUUUUCGCCGGGGGAUAAAGGCUUCGGGAAUGUGGCUCUCUCCGGGGAGUGUUAUAGCCCGUUGCGUAAUACCCUGGCGGGGACUGAGGUUCGCGCAUCUGCAAGGAUGCUGGCGUAAUGGUCAUCAACGACCCGUCUUGAACACGGACCAAGGAGUCGUCUUCGUAUG